rnacentral:rRNA from 1 species
AGCGAACGUUUGCGGCGGGCCUAACACAUGCAAGUCGAACGAGAAUCUCUUCGGAGAGGAAAGUGGCGCACGGGUGCGUAACACGUGGAUAACCAACCCCUGCUUGUCGGGAUAACGCUGGGAAACCGGCGCUAAUACCGGGUGUGUCCGAGGUGUCAUCAGGCGCUUCGGAGAAAGACACGCAAGGGUCGCCAGGGGACGGGUCCGCGUCCCAUCAGCUAGUUGGUGAGGUAAUGGCUCACCAAGGCAAAGACGGGUAGCUGGUCUGAGAGGAUGAUCAGCCACACUGGAACCUGAGACACGGUCCAGACUCCUACGGGAGGCAGCAGUGGGGAAUAUUGCGCAAUGGGCGGAAGCCUGACGCAGCCACGCCGCGUGAGCGAUGAAGGUCUUAGGAUCGUAAAGCUCUGUGGAGGGAGAAGAAGAAAGCCGGUGAAGAGCCGGCCUUGACGGUAUCCCUUUAGCAAGCACCGGCUAACUCCGUGCCAGCAGCCGCGGUAAUACGGAGGGUGCAAACGUUGCUCGGAAUCAUUGGGCGUAAAGCGCGCGUAGGCGGCGAGGCAAGUUGGAUGUGAAAGCCCUGGGCUCAACCCAGGAAGUGCAUCCAAAAUCUGCCUUGCUUGAAUCUCGGAGGGGGCUCAGGGAAUUCCCGGUGUAGAGGUGAAAUUCGUAGAUAUCGGGGAGGAACACCAGUGGCGAAGGCGCUGACCUGGACGAUGAUUGACGCUGAGG